GGGGUUGUAGCUCAGUGGUAGAGCGUCUCAUUCGCAUCUAACGAUCUUUGAGAAAGUCGUGGGUUCAAUUCCUACCAACUCCA